rnacentral:rRNA from 1 species
UACAGAGGUGGCAAGCGUUGUCCGGAAUUACUGGGCGUAAAGAGCUCGUAGGUGGUUUGUCGCGUUGUUCGUGAAAACUCACAGCUCAACUGUGGGCGUGCGGGCGAUACGGGCAGACUGGAGUACUGCAGGGGAGACUGGAAUUCCUGGUGUAGCGGUGGAAUGCGCAGAUAUCAGGAGGAACACCGGUGGCGAAGGCGGGUCUCUGGGCAGUAACUGACGCUGAGGAGCGAAAGCGUGGGGAGCGAACAGG